GAUGAACGCUGGCGGCGUGCUUAACACAUGCAAGUCGAACGAAGCGCUUUUAUUUGAUUUCUUCGGAAUGAAGAUUUUAGUGACUGAGUGGCGGACGGGUGAGUAACACGUGGGUAACCUGCCUCAUACAGGGGGAUAACAGUUAGAAAUGACUGCUAAUACCGCAUAAGACCACAGUACCGCAUGGUACAGGGGUAAAAACUCCGGUGGUAUGAGAUGGACCCGCGUCUGAUUAGGUAGUUGGUGGGGUAACGGCCUACCACGCCGACGAUCAGUAGCCGGCCUGAGAGGGUGACCGGCCACAUUGGGACUGAGACACGGCCCAAACUCCUACGGGAGGCAGCAGUGGGGAAUAUUGCACAAUGGGGGAAACCCUGAUGCAGCGACGCCGCGUGAGCGAUGAAGUAUUUCGGUAUGUAAGGCUCUAUCAGCAGGGAAGAAAAUGACGGUACCUGACUAAGAAGCACCGGCUAAAUACGUGCCAGCCGCCGCCGUAA
rnacentral:rRNA from 1 species